rnacentral:rRNA from 1 species
UACGUAGGGGGCAAGCGUUGUUCGGAAUUACUGGGCGUAAAGGGCGCGUAGGCGGCACAGCAAGUCGGGAGUGAAAGCCCGGGGCUUAACUCCGAAACUGCAUUCGAUACUGCCGUGCUUGAGGACUGGAGAGGAGACUGGAAUUUACGGUGUAGCGGUGAAAUGCGUAGAUAUCGUAAGGAAGACCAGUGGCGAAGGCGGGUCUCUGGACAGUUCCUGACGCUGAGGCACGAAGGUCAGGGGAGCAAACGGG